rnacentral:rRNA from 1 species
UACGUAGGGGGCAAGCGUUGUCCGGAAUCAUUGGGCGUAAAGCGCGUGUAGGCGGCUUGGUAAGUCCGCUCUGAAAGCCCGGGGCUCAACCCCGGGAGGCGGGUGGAUACUGUCAAGCUCGAGUCCGGAAGAGGAGAGUGGAAUUCCCGGUGUAGCGGUGAAAUGCGCAGAUAUCGGGAAGAACACCCGUGGCGAAGGCGGCUCUCUGGGACGGUACUGACGCUGAGACGCGAAAGCGUGGGGAGCGAACAGG